rnacentral:rRNA from 1 species
AAAACAUAGCCUUGAGGGAAUAAUUUAAGGGUGAAGUCUGCCCCAAUGAUGAUUAUUUAAUGGCUGCGGAAUUUUAACCGUACUAAGGUAGCAUAAUAAAUUGUCUUUUGAAUGAAGUCUAGAAUGAAUGGAAUAACGGGAAUAACCUGUCUUUAUAUUUUUAUAAUGAAUUUACUAAUUAGGUGAAAAAGCCUAUAAAUGAUAAAAGACGAGAAGACCCUAAGAGUUUAAUUUAUUUUGUUGGGGCGACACAGGAUCAUAGCAAACAUCCUUUAUUAAAAUAUGACGAAUAAUUUUAUGAACAGAUAAACUACCUUAGGGAUAACAGCACAAUCUUUUUAGGUUUGUGACCUCGAUGUUGGACUAGGAAGCUUUUAGGCUAGCCGCUUAAUAAGGGGAUUCUGUUCGAAUUUUAACUCCUACGUGAUCU